rnacentral:misc_RNA from 1 species
AAGUCGUAACAAGGUUUCCGUAGGUGAACCUGCGGAAGGAUCAUUAUUACGUAUCCACGUAUAAACCAAAUGUGAAUUGUUUUCCGCUCUUUGUCGAGGUUAAUGGCUUGGUUGCGCUACCGUUCCAUGUUAGUUGGAACAGUAAUCAAGUCGCCACCUUGUGUGGAACUUUGACAUUGAGUUCGGUUAUCACUAACAUCAAUUUUUUAUUAACCUUUUGUACUUAACUUCGAACUAACUAUGUUUCGCGUUUCGUGGACUCUUCGGAGCUCAUGGACUCGAAAUCUAUUUACGUAACUUGAACAGCUCUUAGCAACGGAUAUCUUGGCUCUC